UACGUAGGGGGCAAGCGUUGUCCGGAUUUAUUGGGCGUAAAGAGCGUGUAGGCGGUUCGGUAGGUCCGUUGUGAAAACUCGAGGCUCAACCUCGAGACGCCGAUGGAAACCAUCGAACUAGAGUCCGGAAGAGGAGAGUGGAAUUCCUGGUGUAGCGGUGAAAAUGCGCAGAUAUCAGGAAGAACACCCGUGGCUAAGGCGGCUCUCUAGUACGGUACUGACGCUGAGACGCGAAAGCGUGGGGGAGCGAACAGG
rnacentral:rRNA from 1 species